GCAAACUUGGUCAUUUAGAGGAAGUAAAAGUUGUAACAAGGUUUCCGUAGGUGAACCUGCGGAAGGAUCAUUAACAAAUCCAUAUUUUAUGCCGCAAGGCGUAGAUAUAAAUUCGCUUGGCUGGCGCAAGCUGCCAAGUUGAAAGAUUGUAUAUAUUAUUAUAUAUAAAUGUAUGUGUAGUGUAGACAAGUGUGUGUAAAAACAAAAAUAAUUGACAACUUUUAACAAUGGAUCUCUAGGCUCUUGCAUCGAUGAAGAACGCAGC
rnacentral:misc_RNA from 1 species